rnacentral:misc_RNA from 1 species
GUUCUCGCCUGGAGACCGUCCAGUGCGUACAGGUGAUCCGGGACCAGGCCAGUCCUCGAAUCCGGGUUCGUUCGUCGCGAUGACGCGUCGGCUCGCCACGAGGCGGACGCGAGGCUCGCGCGUCUCGGGCCAGGAGAUACUCGCGUAAGCCGCGAGCCCGACAUCUCCGAUCAUCCGGAUCGUGGACAGGCGGCUCGCGCGAGACGCGACCGGUCGCGCCGUCGUCUAACGAAGCGAUGUAGUGCCGUUGCUCGCCCACGUGACGUGUGCCGGUGUGUGUGUGUGUGUGUGUGUGUGUGUAUGUGUGUGUGACGUCGUCGCGGCCCGCGUCAACGCGCUGCGAGGAGACGACGACGAUGAACGGCGAGCGAGACUCGUGAUCGUCCGGCGCGCGGGCUCCGGGCGGCAAGAGUGCCGCGAGAGGAUUCGCGGGCGAGAAGAAGCAGAGGAGAGGCCCCGACGAGAGAGGAGACACACGGGCCGGUCCGGUGGGGCCCCGGCCAUGGGGGAGACAGCAUGUUCUCCGAGCUGUGCAGGGAGACCCUGCGGAAGGCAGCAGUGUGCUACAGUUCUGCUCGUGCAGGAAGUCCAUCACCAUCGCCACCAACGUCUCCGCCGCCAUCACCCGCCAAGGAGGCAAAGACUGCUGCCAACGCUGACCUGGCAAAUGUCCGUGACGCCGGCCACGAGGGAGCCAGAGACCAGCAGCAGCAGCAGCAGCAGCAUCAUCAUCAUCCAGGGACCAUCGGAAGACGAGGAUCGCCGGCGGGCGGGAACGCCGCCGCCGGCGAGCCCCGAGACUCGGCCGCGGAGAGAUCGACGACCGAGCGUUCGAACGACGUCAGGGAGUACGUUUACAUCCGAAAGCGGCCGGCGAUGCCCACCGACUUCAGCAAGCGACUGCCCGGGCUCGAGGCGAGGGAGGGUCGACGCGGCGGCGCUGGCACGUGCGUCGUCGAUCCCCGGGAGUCCCGAUCGGUGUCCCCCGAGAAGGGACGGCAGCAGCACGAGGACAACAACCAAGGAGGAGGAGGAGGAGGAGGAGGAGGUGCCGGCGAGUGCGGUAGACCGGACUCGAGACUCGGCAGACGUUCUCCAGGGUCGUCGCCCGAACCCGAGGACAACUCCUCAACUUCUGGCGACGAAGCUGGAGCCGCUCCUGAGGAAACUAACCAAAGGUCCAGUUCUGCACACAAUCGCCACUCUCUCACGAAGGAGCAAACGAUGCACUGGUUCGCCCAGAUCGGAGUCGGCGACGACGACGCACUCGCUUUGCCAGAUGUGAAGCGCCGGCGAAGUCUCUACGAUGAGGAUUCCCUCGAUGGCGAUCGUCCUUACGAGAAUGAAGGACGCGACUCGACGGGAAGCUCGAAAGAGUUGGACAGGGCGAAGCUUGUCCGCGAGAGACAGAACGAGGAGCGGCAGCGGAAGUUGGAGGAGCUCAGGCAACAGGCGCUCGCCGCGCAACGCUUCCGGGAGCAGCGCGAGGAGGAGCGACGAAGACGCAUCGACGAGCUCAGAUCGCGUGACAACGACAGACGAAACCAAGUGGAGGAGAGAAAACGGCUGAUAUGCGAGGCCGAACGGGAAAGACGGGAGGCUAUCCUCCGGAAGAACCAGGAGAGGGAGGCGCGCAUCGAGGCGAAGAAGAAGAACGAGAGAUCGCACAUUGUCUUCGCGUUCGGCAGCUCCACGCCGCGGAUGCUGGAGCCCGCCGACACCGGCGGCUCCACCUUCUGGGGCACCCGCAGGGCCACCUCCACCACCAACGUCAUGAUGUUCUCCGCGGCGCAGCCGCUCACCAGGAGAUCCUCCGAGAGAGAGCUGGACGGCAGCAAGAAGCGGGCCACUUCCGCCGGUGGACUCGACCGGAAGCCCGGAGAAGAUAUGAGAAUGUCCUCGUCCAUGUACGAGGUGUUCAAUUGGAAUUCUAGCCCCGAUCCUCCUUUAACUCCUGCCAAGCAUAAGAGAGCCAGCCUCUCUCUACCUCCCACAACCGACAUCUUUGCCGUCGAUGAUAAAUCCGAUAGCGACACUCGGCGUCCCAUGAUUCAGCGGGCUGCCAGUGGUGAGGAGAGCGACGGCACCACACCCAGCACACCCAGCUCGGUUUACCUGCGGGUGAACAGGAGGCGCACCGACCUCAUGCCGACGAUACCGUCCCCGCGUGACGGCCCGCCGUCGACGGCGCGCAGCUCCAGCGCCAAGGCCUUCACACGUUCGCCAGGUAGGACUUACUCCAUGUCCAGGCUGGACCAGCUGGCGCAGCCUCGGAAACGCGCGACCGAGCAGCUCGGCACGCUGACGGAACAGCAGCAGCACCAGCACGAGCAGCAGCAGCAACAGCAGCAGCAGCAGCAGCAGCAACAAAGCCAGCCUCUGAGCGCUUCUAGCAUGAGCCGCAGCAUGUCGCACUUGGCCGCGCCCGGAGGUGUCAAAAGUCUCAAACGUUCAGACAACUCGCGUAGCAUGGGCACGCUGCCGGGCGCGGCGCCGAUACCGAGACCUACCCGCGCCGAGCGACUACGCCGCAAGGCGCGCGAGCACCAGCAGGCUCAACAACAGCAGCAGCAGCAAGGUAUCCGCAGCGGCGAAGUGACACCCAACAGCCCGUCCCGACCGCACAGCUCCAUGAGCCAGCAGAGCGCCAGCAGCGUGGGCAGCAGUAAUGUCAAUCUGCGUUCCCGUACGGCCGCGUCGCGCCGACCGCGGCCUGCUUCUAUUGCCGGUACCGGUGUCUCGGUCACAGAGAAACACAAUCUGGUGGGCGAUGUGAAAUUAACGAAGGAUUCAAAGCCACCACUGCCAAAGGUCCAUAGCACUCCGAAGAAACCUUCUACACCGAAAGCCACGGAGGUGAAGAAGCCGACGGAGAAGUUAAUCAAGAAUGUCAAAUCGUCACCGCGAAUAACCCCGAAAGCGACUCCCCUGCAAAGUCCCGGAGCUGAGCAUGCACCGCUCAUCCGCGAGUCCACCGUGGAGAUAAUAAAGCAGAAUGACGCCAAGCAGGAUACGCAGGAUGUGAAGGAUGUGAAGGAUGUGAAGGAGGACAAGAACGAAGAGAAGAAGGAUCAGGGCAGUGAGAAGAUUCAGCAACAGGAAUCGAACAUCGCCGAAUCCGUAAUCGAAGAUACGAAGGUAGUAGAGGAACAAACCGUGCCUGUGUCAGCGAGCAAACAAGUCAAGGACGAGACUAAUCUGCUGCAAGAAAAUCUGUUGAGCACAGUUGCGGAGGAACCGCCGAAAGUCGCUAAAAAGGAGGAGAACAAACAAGAAAAGAAACCGACGGAGACGACUGAAGUCAAGUCCGAAAACGAAAUGGACGAGCAAGUCGACAUGUCAGCUUCGAUGAUCGCCAAGAUCAGAAUCACCACCGAGGAGGAGGCCAAAGCCGCUUUGGCCGAGCGUAGAAGAUUGGCGCGAGAACAAGCGGAACGAGAGGCGGAACUUGAGCGUCAGCGAAAGGAGGAAGAAGCGCGCUUAGAAGCUGAAAGAUUGCGCGCUGAGGAGGAGGAGCAACGCCGUCUGGAGGAGGAGACUCUACGCUUGGCUAAUGAAGCUCGAGAGGCAGAGGAACAGCGACUGCAAGUGGCGAUCGAGGAAGCCAAACGUCGCGAAGAAGAAGACAGAAGAAGAAGAGAAGAGGAAGCUCGUCAGAAACAGGAGAAGGAGGAAGCAGAGCGUAAAGCGAGAGAGGAGGCGGAAAGACAACGAAUUGAAAUGUCGGAGAAGCUGAAGAAGGAGGAGCAGGAACGCAACGCUAGACGCAAACGAGUCGAGGCGAUUAUGCUCAGGACGAGAGGCAAAAAUCAAUCUAACACGCCUACCAAGGGCGAGGCCGGUGAUGGCGACAAGUUGAAGGAAGAAAGUCCUAGCGACGAGAAUAAACCCGUACCGGGCGGUAAAGGUGAUGACGUUAUGACAGCUAGUUUAAUUUCCGAAGCAACUGAGCAGUUCAUUAGUGGUGAGCAGCGGGCGCAUCAGGCGGAAAACAACGCCGCGCCGGACAUUGUGCACAACGGCACGCAUAGCAACGGCAUUAACGAAAGUAAAAUUGUAUUGGAUAAUAAUCAGGGUAACGUUGAAGGAGAAUUGAACGGUCAUCACACGAAUCACGGGAACGGUAUCAACAGUCAGUCGAUUACACUGGACAAUGCCACUGUGUAAGUAUGCCAAUCCUUCAGUCACGGAUUCGCAAACACGUGUUAGACUUCACCGCACGAUAUACAGGGAGAUAUUUCUCGGCUCGUCGACCGCCGAGAAAGCACGAUGAUCAAAAUUUCACAAACAAUAACGAAACUGAUCCGAAAACGACUCGUCUCUUCUCGGUAGAUCGAUGGACAAUAAUAUCGUAGUAAUCGCGAGACUCGCGCUUCGGAAACGCGUAUCUCAUUGCAACGUACAUACCGAAGCCGAAGAACGUAACAAUAUAAUGAUAUGUAACGUUAUAAUUCCCGACACGUGUCUUCAGAAACCGAGAUUGAUAACGUUCACGCUUGUAUCAUUGAAAAGAAAAUAUAUUACCGAAAUAUAUCGAAGAGAUAAGUAUUGAAUUACUGAAUAGAAAAAGAGCUCGUUUUCAAGUCGCCAGAAAUCUGUUUUUUUGGAGAACGAAAAUUGUGCGCUUAUGGGCUUAUUUUAUGAGCUUUACAUGGCUUUCGUAACACACAAUUUCUACCUUCCUAAAAUAUAGACUGGAGACGCUUUGGAAAUUAUCAGCUCUUCGAUUGUUUUGUUGCGGAAUUACAAAAUUACGUUACAAACGUGGCAUGAAAAAUACAUUGGAACAAUUUUCUUCUAUUGUAUUUAAUUAAUCGGUAAGAAAAGGGAUAAUCAUAUGGAGCAUAGGUAGAUGAUAAUAUGCAACGUGCAGUUUACAUGCAAUUAACAUUUUUACAGGACAUAAAUAAUUGCACAAUACUAGCCAAUAUAUUAUUCGUCUAAAAUUGACUGAUUACUAGCAUAAUCGAAAACAAUGAUUGACCGUAUAGUUGGGCGGUCGCAAAACUAAAGCGUAUAUAUUAUCAUACAGUAUAAGACAGCUGAAGUAAUUUGCAAUAAGACGAUCAACUUUUAAAUAUUGCAUGUAAAACUCAAACAUAUUUACGUAAUAUAGAGGGAGGAAGAGAGAAAUUAUUUACGCCGCGCUAUGAAAGGCAAGAGGAAAAUCAAACCUAUUACUUCGGCAUCUUUCCUAUACACAAACUUCUCAAACAGAGUCUGUAUGAUUUAAAACCAUGUGCCACAUUACAUUAAAAUUAAGCAUAUUGUAUAAUUUUAUUUGUAAAUAGAAGCGAUGAGGGUUCUAAAUAAUAACGAACAAUUGUCGCACUACGUGAACAAAUUGAUUAUCCCAAGUUUUAAAUUCGUACAUGCAUAAAAGAAAUUUUGUGAUUUAGAACGGCAAUUAUUUAAAACUUUCAUUUGUGGCAGAAUAUAAAAUCUUUAGACAUGUAUUCCUAGAGGCCUUAUACUGUGUCAAAGGCUCUGUAUAUAAUGAAUUAUGUUGUUUGAGCUAUGUCUUGUAAUGUCGAUAAACUAUUAAAAUGAAUUAAUUAAGUUUUGAGAGUUAUAUACGUAUACAUAUGUAUGUACACAUUAUAAAUAGUUAUAUAGUAACGAAGUUUACUGCGCUUUCCCGAGGAUCGCUUCGAACUGCCUAUUCGACUUAAUUUUAUCGGACGUUCACUCGCUUCGUGCAAAUGUUACAAGUAAUCCACAUGUGUUGUACAUUGCAAAAGUAGUCAGAGCAACAAGGUUGACGAGUAUAAAUAAACACGCCAUUGCGAUUCACCGAUACGAUUAGCUGCACGAUUAUCAGCGUAUUAACCAACACAAACAAAUAAUUCCACACACGAAACACUAUCGCUACUGCAAUGAUAACAAAAGUACAGCUAGAAUUAUCAAAGAUAUCGGGAAUUAAUCGCGUAUGUACUCCGAUUUGUCUUUAGACGUUAUGUCAACGAGUUGGAAGAACGUUAUGUAAUACCGUACAUGAAGCAUGAAACCGUUAAGAACCACUAAACAGGAUUACACACUUAGCGCUAAAUUUCACGACAAAUAAACCUCAGUGUACAUAAUGUAAAGAGAGACAAACAGCAUAAAUCUAAUGAGACUCAUCGAAA